GGCUACUUUGGUGAUUUCUUUGAUGGAGUACUGCCAUGGCCCCAAAACAGUAGAGUUUAAGAGGUGUUGAUAUUGAUGAUCUGGACAUUCCCUAAGGAUUGACCAUUUUCAGAUGAUAUCUGCUGAUCUUCGUUGCAUUGUUUGAUAGCGAGAAAAUGCAGCUACUGUAACAUAUUUGAGUACCCAUGUAAAUAGUCUCUUCUACUUUGAUGGGUUUCCCAUUUCUGUGCAUCUUGAUGUAUCUAUCUAGGAAUUGAAUGUGAGCUCCAUGUCGUG
rnacentral:misc_RNA from 1 species